GAUGAACGCUGGCGGCGUGCCUAAUACAUGCAAGUCGAGCGAACGGACGAGAAGCUUGCUUCUCUGAUGUUAGCGGCGGACGGGUGAGUAACACGUGGAUAACCUACCUAUAAGACUGGGGUAACGUCGGGAAACCGGAGCUAAUACCGGAUAAUAUUGUGAACCGCAUGGUUCAAAAGUGAACGACGGUCUUGCUGUCACUUAUAGAUGGUACCGCGCUGCAUUAGCUAGUUGGUAAGGUAACGGCUUACCAAGGCAACGAUGCAUAGCCGACCUGAGAGGGUGAUCGGCCACACUGGAACUGAGACACGGUCCAGACUCCUACGGGAGGCAGCAGUAGGGAAUCUUCCGCAAUGGGCGAAAGCCUGACGGAGCAACGCCGCGUGAGUGAUGAAGGUCUUCGGAUCGUAAAACUCUGUUAUUAGGGAAGAACAUAUGUGUAAGUAACUGUGCACAUCUUGACGGUACCUAAUCAGAAAGCCACGGCUAACUACGUG
rnacentral:rRNA from 1 species